UAGUGGCAACACCGAAUUCCCAGUUCUCAUGAAAGUUCGUCUGCAGCAAAAAUCCAGUCUCCCUGUCAGUGAUUGGCUCAUCCCUUUUCUGUUUUGAUUUUUGAAUUCUGGGCUUAUUUCACUAGUUAAAUUGACGUUUAUCGUGCUGCUGAUAAAAAUGGUGAUGAAGUGCUUUGUGGCAUGUUGCUCUGCCGGGUAUGCCUCAAAUAAGGUGAAAGUUACAAAAUUUCGUGCUCCAAAAGACGAAAAACAAUUCAUUCUCUGGCAGAAAGCUAUUCCCAGAACCGAUAGAAAGUUGACAAGAAAAGACUAUGUGUGCGCAAACCACUUUGAAGAGAAAUAUUUAACGAAAGUAAAAACCAUUCUUGAUCAAGAAUUUCCUCUGAAGAUCUGGAAGUUGGCAGCUGAAGCCAUUCCUACUCUAAAUCUAUGGAGUGACACGGAUAAUCAACUCGAAAUUCUAAUCAUUUUGACUUGAUACAUUCUAGGAGCUCACUGCGAGUAGAACUGCCAUGUUCUUACACGGGGAAGUGAUCAGAUGGAAAUGACGGCCUUGAAUGCUGGACUUUUUAUGUUGUGGCGCUUUGGGUUUUUCCAUUAGGGACGAUUCCUGCUGCCACACCCCUUAUCGAAAAAUGAAACAAAUUCAAACAGGUCAUUGACAGGUCAGUUUGUAGGGGUCAAAAACCUAUCCGGCUCCAACCUUUCCGGCCGCCCUCUUAUCCUACAUGUCAUUUCAAAUGUCCAACUUCCACCUGCAACACAGCAGGAGGAUGUCUAGUAUUUAGUAAAUCACCGCACCAUAUUGUAUAGCACCCGGUAGAUUUAUGGUCAUAUUUUUCCGUCCCGUUUUAAUUUGAACUGGUUUCAACGGGUUUCAUUCUUCGCCAAGGUUAAACCUGUCUUCCAAAUUCAUGCGCAUUUGCCGCCACGAUAUUUCUGCACGCGCCAACUUGUCGGAUGUGUCCUCGUCCGCUCCGGAGAUUCCCAUCAAAGAGUGCGCUAUUCACAGAGUUCUGUAGUGCCAGGUACUGCUGAAAGAUCCAAUCAGGCACCAACUGCAUCACUUAAGUAAGAAGUGUAUUUAAAUUUUUGUUUUCGUUAUUAAGUUUAAGUAAGUCUAUAGAGUUAGAUUUCAAGAAUGUUUAAUUCUUGUUUUCUUCGGUAGUGGAGUGAAAGAAUUCCAUUCUUGGAAAAAUUCUCUUUUUCGACCUAUUAAAUAAAACAAACGGUACGAAACUUAUAUUAGUGCAUAUUAUAAAAUACGAUAGUAAAACAGAAGUUGAACUAGUUGUUAGCACGAUAAGAAAAUUAAUCUAGCGAUAAAGUAGUUACAUUAUGCCGACGCAGAAUGUACGGCUUCACAUUACUCAUUAGAAAAAUAUUAAACGUGUUGAAUGACAUUUGAAAAAUUGACGCUUUAAUUGUUUUGCUGUACUAUUUUGUGUCUAUUUCGUUCAAUUAUUUACAUUGUCACCAUUUUCACGUCAGUGCUGAAAAACGCCAACGAUCUCUGCUACGUAUAGUCAAUUCAUUUUGAAAGAUUUCGGCAUCAUUUUUAUGAUUUUAUGGCGAUUAGUUUCCUCCUCUUCCGCAGGACCUGCAUCUUCCCCGCCGGAUGCGGCAGCUGCAGUUGUUGGAGCGGCCGUUGAAGCCACUGGCGCCGUUGAAGCGACCGAGGCGGACGCUGAAGGUGGCUUAUUCCCUCCUCCUCCGGCUAUUCCGGAUGGAUUGGUGUUGUUAUUCUCCGCUAUAACAGGAAGAAUCCCUGGCGGAAAGAAACCUGGCCCUACUCCCGGAUAGCCAGCACCAGGUAAGAUUCCUGGAUAGUAAGGAUUAUUCAAACCAACACUGGGAUAGAAUCCUUGUCCGGAUCCAGCACCGGGGUAGAAUCCCUGUCCCGGAAUCAUUCCUCCGCCACCUCCAAAUUGAGGAUGAUGUGGAUGAAACCCUCCUCCGCCUCCUGCUGGAAAUUGUGCUGGAUAUCCUGGUGGGAAAGCUCCUUGCUGGUACGGAUUUGACCCGAAUCCGCCGGCGUAAGUGAAUUAACUUGGACGAGGUACGAGCGAGAAGAGAAAACUGAUUUUGUUGUGCAGCAAAUUUUCCUUCGUCAGCUUCUUGGAACACUUCAAUGACUUGGGCUUCACCCUGGGCAUCGACGGAUAUCCCGCCGUAAGUCGCCAGUGCCAACAGCAGCAGAAGAAACGCAAACACUCUAUUACUCAUCAUGAUGAGUGGAUCCGACGAGUACUGGACUUUUGAUUCUGGUGUCCUUAUCGAUGACGAGUCGACUUUUUAUACCUGUGUGAUACAGAGUACCACUAUAGUGCACGUUUCAUCGAUUCGACCCAAAUGAUCCUGAUGCAAAACACCAGCAUUUUCCAACCGAGUUGAAUUUUCAAUCAGCGAUGGACGGCGACGAGGAACUUGCACAGCGAUAAAUAAAGGCGAGAUGUGCAACACACGCAAGAGGUCACGGACAAGAGUUUCAAGCCGGGAAGGAGAAAUUCAUCGAGAAACUACGCCAAAAAUAAAACUUUUAAAAUGACAGAAAUGGCUUCUGUUGUUGGCGUAUUUCGAGAAAUUGUCUUACCUCAUCGGUGAAUCAUCUGUGUACGACGGAAAGAAGA